ACUCAACCGAGGAAGUGCUUCGAAAACUGGUAAACUUGAGUGCAGAAGAGGAAAGUGGAACUCCAUGUGUAGCGGUGGAAUGCGUAGAUAUAUGGAAGAACACCAGUGGCGAAGGCGGCUUUCUGGUCUGUAACUGACGCUGAGAUUCGAAAGCAUGGGUAGCAAACAGGAUUAGAUACCCUGGUAGUCCAUGCCGUAAACGAUGAGUGCUAAGUGUUGGAGGGUUUCCGCCCUUCAGUGCUGCAGCUAACGCAUUAAGCACUCCGCCUGGGGAGUACGAUCGCAAGAUUGAAACUCAAAGGAAUUGACGGGGGCCCGCACAAGCGGUGGAGCAUGUGGUUUAAUUCGAAGCAACGCGAAGAACCUUACCAGGUCUUGACAUACCAUGAAAAGCUAAGAGAUUAGUCUUUCCCUUCGGGGACAUGGAUACAGGUGGUGCAUGGUUGUCGUCAGCUCGUGUCGUGAGAUGUUGGGUUAAGUCCCGCAACGAGCGCAACCCUUAUUAUCAGUUGCCAGCAUUCAGUUGGGCACUCUGGUGAGACUGCCGGUGACAAACCGGAGGAAGGUGGGGACGACGUCAAAUCAUCAUGCCCCUUAUGACCUGGGCUACACACGUGCUACAAUGGUCGGUACAACG
rnacentral:rRNA from 1 species